rnacentral:rRNA from 1 species
UACGGGGGGUGCGAGCGUUGUCCGGAAUCACUGGGCGUAAAGGGCGCGUAGGUGGCAUGAUAAGGGUGUGGUGAAAGCCCGGGGCUCAACCCCGGGUCUGCCAUGCCGACUGUCACGCUAGAGUACUGUAGGGGCAGGCGGAAUUCCGGGUGUAGCGGUGGAAUGCGUAGAGAUCAGGAAGAACACCGGUGGCGAAAGCGCUCUGCUGGACCUUAACUGACACUGAGGGACGAAAGCUAGGGGAGCGAAUGGG